rnacentral:rRNA from 1 species
UACGUAGGGUGCGAGCGUUGUCCGGAAUUAUUGGGCGUAAAGGGCUCGUAGGCGGUUUGUCGCGUCGGGAGUGAAAACACCGGGCUUAACUCGGUGCUUGCUUUCGAUACGGGCAGACUAGAGGUAUGCAGGGGAGAACGGAAUUCCUGGUGUAGCGGUGAAAUGCGCAGAUAUCGGGAGGAACACCUGAGGCGAAGGCGGGCUACUGGGCCGAUACUGACGCUGAUGUGCGAAAGCCAGGGGAGCGAACGGG